rnacentral:rRNA from 1 species
UACGUAGGUGGCAAGCGUUGUCCGGAUUUACUGGGCGUAAAGGGCGUGCAGGCGGUCUGUUAAGUGCAGGGUGAAAGCUCCCGGCUCAACUGGAGAGGUCGUUCGUCAUACUGGCGGACUUGAGGGGGGUAGAGGAAAGUGGAAUUCCCGGUGUAGUGGUGAUAUGCGUAGAUAUCGGGAGGAACACCUGUGGCGAAGGCGGCUUUCUGGGCCCUACCUGACGCUGAGACGCGAAAGCGUGGGGAGCGAACCGG